rnacentral:rRNA from 1 species
UACGUAGGUGGCAAGCGUUGUCCGGAAUUAUUGGGCGUAAAGGGCGCGUAGGCGGUUCGUACAGUCAGACGUGAAAUUCCUGGGCUCAACCUGGGGGCUGCGUUUGAUACGUGCGGGCUUGAGUUCGGAAGAGGGUCGUGGAAUUCCCAGUGUAGAGGUGAAAUUCGUAGAUAUUGGGAAGAACACCGGUGGCGAAGGCGGCGACCUGGUCCGAUACUGACGCUGAGGCGCGAAAGCGUGGGGAGCAAACAGG